rnacentral:lncRNA from 1 species
GGAUUUCUGCUUCAGAUGUGGCCGUAAGAGAUGCGACUUCCAGCUGUGUAUUCUGUGUGUUAAAUUACCUCUUUACGGUUAGGUACAAUUACGACGAUCAUCCUCUCAAACUCACUUAUGCUAGUGUUAAAAAAUGAGCUCGAUGAGUACUAUUGUGACAUAUGCGAAGGAAAACGAGAUCCAAAACAUUGGUUCUACUCCUGCCUGGAUUGUGACUUUGAAUGUCAUACUCAUUGCAUUAGAGGGAGGUAUCCGCAAGUCAAGUUAGGGGGCUCUUACAAGCAUCAUGAUCACCAGCACGACGUCGCCCUUGUUUAUAAGAGAAAAGGCAAGAUUCCUAAUGAUAAGAGAGAGCGCUUACUUCCUUGUUCCAAGUGUUCUAUGAUUUGCAAAGGAUUGGUUUGUGAAUGUUUGGUGUGUGGUAUUAAUAUGCACCUAAGGCAUAUAAGAAAGCAAAAGCAUAUAAAAUUUCUAUAUUUUGAAAUCUUGCUUUUCAUUGUUUGCGAUAGGCCUGGCAAUCGGGUCGUGUCAGUCGUGUUCGUGUCGUUUUCGUGUAACACCUGUUAGCUUAACGGGUCGUGUCGUGUCACACCCGUUAUCUUAACGGGUCCUUAACAGGUCGGGUCACUUUACCCGUUGGGUAAAGUGACCCGACCCGACCCGUUAUGACCCGUUAUGACCCGUUAAGAAAAAUAUUUUUUUUUUCUUAAACUUGCACAUACUACAUAUUGUCACAUAAAUAUUACUUUAAAACAUUAAAACGCAUUUGUUGUUUAAAUACUACAUCAACACUCGAAAAUAAGAGUAAUAAAAAAAAUCCACACAUUACUAAUCUAUUACAAAUAUUAAAUAUGCAAGGAUAUGCAAAAUGAAAGCGUUUUUGUUUUCAAGGUUGUGAAGUCUUUUUCAAAAGUUUAAACCUUGUCAAUGGAACUCAAAGCUUGCAUGCUAUUCAUUUUACAAAAUCCUCAAUUUACGUCGAUCAUCAUGAGGAAGUUGCAUUGGAACUUUGGCUUGAUCUAUUGCCUUCUUCAAGAGUUAUGUUUGAUAAUGUUUUCAGUAAGAUUUUCCAUGUCAGAACUCUCUUCCGCAUAAACUAAAUAUAGAAAAACCAAACAUUAAAAAUCAUUCAAAUUAUAAGAAAUUUACCAAAAUAAUUAUGAAAAGAAAUAAAACAAUAGUACUAUACCAUAUAAAAAUAUAUUACCUCCUUUUCCAAAUAGCCAAUCUCGUGUGCACAACAAAGCUUGAACUGUUUCUGGUAACAAUGAACUACGAUACUGAUCUAGUACUCUACCCCCAAUACUAAAUGCAGAUUCUGAUGCAACAGUUGAAAUGGGAAUUGUUAACACAUCUCGUGCUAACUGAGAAAGUAUCGGAUAAUGAAAACGCUCCAUUUGCCACCAAGAAAGAACAUCUAUGUCUACUUUUUCUAUCUAUUCUUUUAUCCUCCAAAUACUUCUGCAAUUCAGUUUUUUCAAUCGAACUUGAACCAUCGUAAUUAUUAUCAAAAUCCUACAUCAUAAAAAAUCAUGCAUCAUGUUAAUUUCAAAUAUAAUAUCAACACUUUUUAUACUACUACUACAAUCUACAAAUAUAUAAAGUAAAUAAAAAUAAACUUAGGUUACCUCAAAGAGAACAUCUACAGAUUCUGUUUGAUGAUUAGGCACUGAAUUCCUUGGAGUAUUUGAAUUAUCAAGAUGUGAAAGUUUUUCCAAGUACACACCAAAAAGAACAUUCAAUUUGUCAUUCACCUUUGUAAAUUCGACCGAAUUCACACCAUGAAGCUUUGUGUAAGCCCAAUCCACAAAAUUCAAUUUAUAACGAGGGUCUAAGAUGAUUGCAAUUGCCAAAAUCAAACUAUACUCUGACCAAUACUUCUCAAACUUCAUGUACAUGUAAGUCGCCAUCUUAUUCAUGAAACUUUCAGAGGCAUCCAUGGCUGCCUUAAUUUGAAGUUGGAUUACGAACACCUUAGGGAAGAACAAAUUUGAUGUAGGGUACUUUGUCCCAGAGAAUAAGCACGUAACCUCAUAAAAGUACUCCAAAAACUUGGAAAUCUUCAUUAUUUUAUCCCACUCUUCAGAAGAAGGACAAGUAUUAAAAUUGGAAUCACUCAACCCUAAAUGAAUCAAAGCAUAUCGAUAGAAAAUUGCAUUAUCUAGCAUAAUGUAGGUUGAGUUCCAUCUAGUAGGGACAUCUUGUCUCAAACCUCUCCUACUAUCCAAUAUCCCCACUUGUCUAACACAUUCAUAAAACUUUAGUUUUCUAGCCUCAGAGCCCUUUAUAUACUUGACGCAUUCACGAAUCUUUAUCACCGAAGAAUCAAUUUCUUUAAGUCCAUCUUGAACUAUCAAAUUCAAGACAUGAGCACAACAACGCACAUGAAAGAAGUCACCAUUCAUCACGAGAAGACUUCUGAGAUUCAAUUGAUUCUUCAAAAUGCUAACAAAAGAAAUAUUUGAAGAAACAUUAUCCAAAGUAAUAGAAAAUAACUUCUUCUCAAUUCCCCACUCAGUCACCAAUGCAUUAAUUUUCUCAGAUAAUGCAACACCAGUAUGAGGAGGAGGCAUGUGACAAAAACUUAAAAUUCUCUUAUGCAAUUUCCAAUCUUUGUCUACAAAGUGAGCAGUAAGAGCAAGAUACCCAUCAGUGCAUUGCGAGGUCCAUAAGUCUGAUGUCAAACAAAUUCUACCUUCAACCGAGUCUAGCAAAUUAUGAAGCCUUUGUUUUUCAUUUUUGAACAUCCUUAACACACAGGCUUUAAUUGUAUUUCUACACGGUAACUUAAUAUCAGGAGAUAUAUAUGCAAACAAAGCCCUAAUUCCCUCAUAUUCAGAAAAACUAAAAGGAAGAUUAUGCUUGAUGAUGGCCUCUACCAAUAAACCACGAAAUACCACCGGAUCAAAGUUUUGGGAACAGAAUUCAGACACCGACAAUCCAACAGUCUGUCCAGGGCAUGUUUUCAAAUGUCUAUUCAUAUUACCCGUCCCAUGAUGACUAUCAUCUAUUACCAGUUUCUUACAAUCUUUACAUUGAGCACGACUUUUACCAUCUUCAAAAAUAGUAGUCAAUUUGUUGAAAGUUUUCCAAACAGGAGACCUGAGUGUUCGCUUACCUAAUUUGAUCACUCUAGCCUUUUUCUUUGCCGGACUUGUAUUUGUAUCUUCCAUAUUUUCACUUCCAUGAUCAGGUUGUAUUCCCAUUGUCACUUCCACUGAUCCUCCAUCACUAAGGUUCGUAAAAUCUUGCUCUACAACAUCCAUUGCUUCAAGAAAGAAAAACAAAACUAUAAAAUCUUGCUCAUACCAAUUUCAUACCAUAUCUCUAUUUCAAAUUCACUUAUCCAUUUCAAUUUCAAAUAGAUCAGCACAUAGAUCAACAAAUAGAUCAUCAUUUCAUUUCAAUUUCAAUUUCAAAUUCAUACAUCCAUUUCAAAUUCAUACAUCAACAAAUAAUACUAUUUUUGUUUUUGCAUUAAUCCAUAUAAUAUAAGGCAUAACGGAUGCAAAGUUAACCAAAAAAUGAUGAAUAGCUAGCCACUGUGAAAAUGAUGCAAAGUUAACUAUAAGAUAAUGAUUAGGGUUAUCCCCAUCAACUCAACACCUCUCCAUUUCUUUCCAAUAAUUCAUCCAAUUCAGAAACCCUCCUCACCAACCCUUCUAUUUCUAUACAAAAAGAUGAAUUGUUAACCAUUGCGAAAACAUGUGGUUAUCAGAUAACAAUACGGGUGUUGGACAAAGGGCAUGAACUUCAAAGCUUUCCCCAUCAUAGCCUCAUUUAGAUGUGUUUGAUAUAUAUGGUUCUGUCUUUUUAACACACAUUUAGAAACCUUAAUUUCAGAAAAUCGUAAUUCCUGUGAUUAUUAUUUAUAUCAAUUAGCAAAUACCAAAUAGAUCAGCAAAUUCAGCACAACAAACUGAGAGCAAAGAAAUCAUGAAGCAAAUUAACCUUCUCCAAAAGCCCUAAUUUAGAAACCCUAAUUUCAAAAAUUCAUAAUUCCAAAAGUCCUAAUUCAGAAACCCUUGAGUUCAUUGUAGGAAUUUUUUACCUUGUGCAGUGAGGUGAGGAGUGCGGACUGAGAUCGAGAGCUCGAUUCAGGAGCCGUAUUUGGGUGGUACUGGUAUGGAGUCCGGAGUCUGGAAUCUGGACAGUAUGUGAACCAGUGAAGUCGCGAUUUAGGUGAUGACUGAGGACUGACAGAGUGACUGAGUGAGGGGUGACGGUCUGGGUGAGGUCGAGGACGAUGAGGAGGGUGAUCCGGUGAGGUCACUGAGACUGAGGUGAGGGUGACUCGGUGACGGUGAGGCGCCGCGUGAGGUCGAUCGAGAGAGAGACAGAAAGAAUGAUUUGAGUUUCUGAUUUGAGAAAGAAUAGAAGGAUAGCCUACAAUGGACGGCUGAGAUUAAAUCUCAGCCGAUCCAAUGGUCAUCAAUUUUUUAAAAUUUAAUUUAAUAUAUAUAUAUAUAUAUAAUUAUUAUAGUUUUUAGGGGUAUAAAAUUUUGUGGCAUCCAUCUACUAGUGUAAAUAUUUUAAAUUGAAGAUCGAAUUCAUUCAUUGUAUUCAUAUAGGGUCAAGGAGUGUAGUUGUAAAAAAUCAUCAAAAUCGGAGUUAAAAAUAACCGUUAAAUCGUGAUUUUUUGUUUAUAACCGUCGAAACGUUUUGUCUUGUUCCUUGAUCUCUGAAUGUUUUUUUUUUGCAAUUUUUGGCGUACUUGAUCUCAAAGUAUAUACAAACAUGUUUUGACGGUUGGAUCGUUGAAAUUAGUUUCGUAGAAUAUGUAUCCCAUCAAAACAAUAGAUUCACUAACACUUAAGAGUUUAUUCAUACUUUCAUCAAGUAUAACAUAAGAUUUUUGUGGUAUCCACUAGUGUAAAUAUUUUAAAUUGAAGAUCGAAUUCAUUCAUUAUAUUCAUAUAGGGUCAAGGAGUGUAGUUGUAAAAAAUCAUCAAAAUCGGAGUUAAAAUAACCGUUAAAUCGUGAUUUUUUUGUUUAUAACCGUCGAAACGUUUUGUCUUGUUCCUUGAUCUCUGAAUGUUUUUUUUUUGCAAUUUUUGGCGUACUUGAUCUCAAAGUAUAUACAAACAUGUUUGACGGUUGGAUUGUUGAAAUUAGUUUCGUAGAAUACGUAUCCCAUCAAAACAAUAGAUUUACUAACACUUAAGAGUUUAUUCAUACUUUCAUCAAGUAUAACAUAAGAUUUUGUGGUAUACACUAGUGUAAAUAUUUUAAAUUGAAGAUCGAAUUCAUUCAUUGUAUUCAUAUAGGGUCAAGGUGUGUAGUUGUAAAAAAUCAUCAAAAUCAGAGUUAAAAUAACCGUUAAAUCGUGAUUUUUUGUUUAUAAUCGUCGAAAAGUUUUGUCUUGUUACAUGAUCUCUGAAUGUUUGUUUUUUGUAAUUUUUGGCGUAUGAGAUCUCGAAGUAUAUACAAACAUGUUUGACGGUUGGAUCGUUGAAAUUAGUUUCGUAGAAUAUGUAUCCCAUCAAAACAAUAGAUUCACUAACACUUAAGAGUUUAUUCAUACUUUCAUCAAAUAUAACAUAAGAUUUUGCGGUAUCCACUAGUGUAAAUAUUUUAAAUUGAAGAUCAAAUUCAUUCAUUGUAUUCAUAUAGGGUCAAGGAGUGUAGUUGUAAAAAAAUCAUCAAAAUCGGAGUUAAAAUAACCGUUAAAUCGUGAUUUUUUUGUUUAUAACCGUCAAAACGUUUUGUCUUGUUCCUUGAUCUCUGAAUGUUUUUUUUUUUGCAAUUUUUGGCGUACUUGAUCUCAAAGUAUAUACAAACAUGUUUGACGGUUGGAUCGUUGAAAUUAGUUUCGUAUAAUUCGUAUCCCAAGAAGUUCAAUGGUGUGUGUGUUACGUAUAUAUAUAUAUGUUAAGUAGAUUUAAAUCUAUUUAUUUUGUAUGUAUAAUUAUUAUAGUUUUUAGGGGUAUAAAAUUUAAUAUAUAUAUAUAAUUAUUAUAGUUAAUAUUUUGGGGGUAUAAUUAUUAUAGUAUAUAUAAAAUUAUAAUUAUUAUAAUUAUUAUAGCUAAUCUAAUAUAUAUAUUUUGGGGGUAUAAUUAUUAUAGUAUAUAUAAUUAUUAUAAUUAUUAUAGUUAAUCUAAUAUAUAUAUAUAUAUAUAUAAUUAUUAUAGUUCUUAGGGUAUAAAAUUGUUAAAUUAAUAUAUAUAAUUAUUAUAGUAUUUUUUAGGGUUAUAAAAUUAUUAAAUUAAUAUUCUGCUUAUCGUGUAUCGUGUUACUCACGUGUAUACCCGAACCAACCCGUUAUCUUAACAGGUGCUUAUCGGGUUACCCGAUAACGACCCGUUUCGUUAUCGUGUCGACUCGAACACCUGUUAAUUUCGUGUCGUGUCGUGUCGGAUUAUCGGGUCGUGUCAGGAAUUGCCAGGCCUAGUUUGCGAGCAUAUCAGAAUGUGUGUAAGCGUGUGCUCGUGCGCGUGUUUGUGAAUAUGACCACUCUUUAUCAAGGACCAUAAACCACGGCGGAAGAAAACAAACAAUUGUCUAAACAACCUACAUUUGUUUUGCUGUGAUAAGUAAAAAGGACAACAGCAUAUAUUCACAGAGAUGACUGUUAUCAAGCUUAAAGGGAACGACAUCCAUGACUCAGCACGGGAACACAUAAUUACAUAGACUUAAUAAAAUUAAAAUAAAAUCUGUUAACCCUUAAACUCACCUGAUUUUCCUUUGUGGAGUAUUUGAGUAUCCUCAGCUAUCAAUUGCGACAAAGUGUCAACACUAACCUUCUGCCAACAUGUGCAUAAGAAGUCAGAGUAAGACAUUAUUCAUUUGCUGUGAGAGAGAGAGAGAGAGAGAGAGAGAGAGAGAGAGUUCAGAUGAUACCAUGGAAAACCAUUACAUAGGCCACAUCUCUAGUUCACAUAUCUAAAUUGUGAAUUCAUUGAAUGAUGAAUGAUGUUGUAUAUGAAGCUACAAAUAUACGACAAGCAAUAAUGAUAGAUAAAUUCAUCUAUAUUGGUUUAUUAAAGUUGGUCAAACAUACCUUUUGUUUUGAUCGGGAUUUAGUUUGGUAGUUUCAUUCUAAUUUCCAUAGUUUAUAAUAGUUAACCAACUAAAAGUGCUUUCUUUUGAUUACUAUCUAAUAUAUUUUGGCCAGUUGGCAAUCCUACUAGAUUUACUUAGGCGCACAUCAAAAAUGUGUAUUAUACAUGUACAUAAGAUAUAAUGCUAAAUAUCUUUUUAUAGUUGUCUCAUAUUACAUAAAAAGAGUUAAAGUACUCUCUCUCUCUUUGCUUGAAAACUAUGUAUCCAUUUCAUCAUGCAUUUUUUGGUGAAGCUACUAUGUUUUUGUAAUUUUUUUUUAUAUUGAGGAGGAAUAGAGGCUAAAGUACCUCCAAUUUGUUCAAGAGGCUUUAGCUCAUGCCACAGUUUGCUUCACAUACCUCUAUUGUUAGCUUCCAUACAAUAUGUUGUGUGUUUCGUUGCUGCAAGUUUGUAAUUUUACUUGCUACUUGAUUAUAAAAAUGUAAAACAAAAUCCGUCUGUGAUUACAAAUUUGUAUUCAAGUUUAGACGUUUUUCUAGUGUAAGACAUAUGUUGCAUAGGCAUGUAAAUGGUACAAAUUGUUUCUGGUUUUGGACAAUAAGCUUUUGAGUUUUACUAUCCUUGCAAGAGGACUGUGACUCAAGCGAACAAAUUUAGUGUUUGGGGAAUAGAGUUUGGUUCUCUUUAAUACAUAAUUUAACAAAGGCCUACAAAUUUUCCUUGAAGGAAUAUGCAAAUGUGUUCUCCGCAACUUGGCCUGCAGUUUAUGUGAAGGGGCAUUAAUGUGUGUUAUUUGCUUUCGUAAAAUGUGUGUUAUCUGCAUUGGUGCAUUUGAGGGUGUGAUUACCUUCCUACCAAAUGCGAUGGCAAGUGCCUUCGCCCAUAAGCGGUAGGUCUCGGGUUCGAGACUUGGGAGUAGCCUCUCCAUAAAUGGGGGUAAGGCUAGCCGACAUUCACCUCUCCCAGACCCUGCGUAAAGCGGGAGCCUUGUGCACUGGGUACGACAUUUUUUUAUUGUGACUAAUACAUUCAAUGCCCGUAACGAAGUGCGAACAGAUUUUCUAGUAUGUUCUAAUGUAUAGAACAAAAUUCAUGUCCUCAGAUUAAUUUUUUGAAAAUAUAUAUUACAGUAAACAGUGAAGCCAUGUCUUGACUAGUAUAUAUCAAACACGCUCACGGUUUGCAAAAGACAGACCGUUUGACCAUUUCAUAUGAUUAUUCAAAUUAGUCACUUUUACUUAACUUGUGCACGUACAAGAUUAUGGUUCGGUUCUUUGCACCAGAAGAAACCAAUGCAAACCAGAGCAGAAAAGCAUGAAAACACAUAAUUACUUUAUGUGCAGAACGUACCCAGAUGUAUUUCUACCAAAAGUAAAAUUCAUAAAUAACUUAGUUGACAUACAAGAUCUACCCCAAUCAAACAAACAGUUGUUCAUGCCAAGCAUUGAAACCUUUUUGUAUGAAUGAUUUGAUUCCAAAUUUCAACCAAAAGUUAUAACUGCACCACCGCGCGCACGCCACACUGAAAAGGUAUAUACGGCCGGGCAGUGUAGAAAAUCUCAUCUCAAUGUGAUAAAACCUUAACAGUUAAUAAGUUCCAAACCAUUUGACAUCAUCAAUAUCUCAUAUUAGAGAAACGCCCUUCUUCCAAAUGAUGGCCAGAUUUGUCAUCUUAUGAUGUCAAUUUUUCUUCUCUUUGAUUUUUUCACAUAAUUUUCUAAUUGUCCCAUAAAAAAUUUGUCUUUAGAUUGUUAGAGUAAUAUUUGAAAAUACGAAAAUAAUACAAGAAUUUCAAUGAUAAUAAUCAUAAUGAAAAUUGUUGAUGCACAAAAUCAGUAGGGACUUUGGUACAACAGAAAAUGUUAAGUUUGUGACAUUCGCUAGAUUGAUCCGGUCGCUAGUGUGGAUAAGUAUGUAAAUGGAUAGAGACAGGGAAGCAAACACAAGAUGUAAGUGGUUCACCUAGAUUGGCUACGUCCACGGAGUAGAAGAGUUCUCAUUAAUUGUGAAGGGUUUACACAAGUACAUAGGUUCAAGCUCUCAUUUAGUGAGUACAAGUGAAUGAUUUAGUACAAAUGACAUUCGGAAAUAUUGUGGGAGAAUGAUCUCCUUUUAUAGAAGAGAGUUUUUAGUUUUGUUUUGACAUUGACACGUGUUGUGUUGUGAUUGGCUUUUGAUGUUGACACAUGUCGCGCUAUGAUUGGCUUCUUGAUGUCGACACGUGUCGCGCUGUGAUUGGCCUCUUAGUUGAAAGGAAAACUCUUAUGGGUCCUUGAUGGUAUAAACGUUGACCAGUGCUCGGUAGUUUCGAGAUUGGUCAAGUAUGGUACAAACAAAAAUAACAACAUAAAUUGUAUACAAGAUUAAUAUAAACAACAGAGAAAGGAAGAAAUGCUGACAAACUUGGAGAUUGAGACUUGCAUGAAUGCAAUGUCCUAAAGACAGAAUUUCGCCCAUACUCGUAGUUCGGUAGGCGUUUGUCUCCCAGAAUUUAACAAUAUAUAAUCCAAAGUUGAAGCACUUUAAAAUCUUUGAACCCUGGUGGAAAUAGAGAGGGGAAACCCCCCGUUUCUCAAGAGUAAGAAUCUAUUUUGUUUUUGUAUGCAUUAGACAGGUGGGAUGCUUGAGUUUAUAGAAUUUGAGCCAUCCAUUUUGAAACAUUUGAUUGUUGAUUAAAGUUCCAAUUAACCGAUGCAACUCAUGAAUUUGAAUUCAAUUAUAACACUUGACUCUUUAUUUUCAUUAAAAAAUUAAAUAAAUAUUAUAAAUUAAUUUCCAACGAACAAUAAGUUUGUUAGUAUUUCUUACUUUCUCUGUUGUUUAUAUUAAUCUUGUAUACAAUUUAAAUUUAUGUUGUAAUUUUCAUUAUGAUUAUUAUCAUUAAAAUUCUUGUAUUAUUUUCAUAUUUUUUUAAUAUUGCUCCAACACUGCAUAGUAUAAUCUCUGUAAAAUAACCUUAUAAAUGAAGUUAAAUAUUUUGUCACAAGAAAAGGAAAAUUCAAUGAUCUAAACCAGAAUUAUUAAAGGUUAACAAAUUAUUAGAAUCUUUUAUUUUUCGUGAAAUGCAAGCUAUCAAAUUAUACAUGACGAGAUAAAGAAAUAAACAUGGCCUAGUCAUCAAGGAUUCUUAGUGUAAUACCCUGAAAAUUUAAAAUACAUGGUUAUGUGGAGUAAAUCGAGAAUAAAUGAUUUAUGGUUAUGAAAAAUUUAAUUAAGAACUUUUAAAGUUUGUUUUCAGAAAUUAUUAUAAUUUACAACGUAAAAUUUAUUGAUAAGUGAAAAGAUCAAAAUGCCCGUAAGGAGAUGUGUCCUUUCGUCGUCGCACGACAUAUAAUUUGUAUAUUGAAUAAUGUUCGUUGGGCUUAAUCGGAACGACGAAGAAGUGCGGAUUUUUUAUCUUUUAGGUGAUGGGCAAUAUAAGUAAAUUGGGAAAAAAAAACAGGAGAUUGUUCUAGAAGGGAGGAGACCAUUUUCUUCUUCCGUGGCCGGGGGGGGGUUGGAUGAUCGAAGGAAAAAAAAGGGAGGGGUUGUUCUUGUUUCCGUUUUGGCUCUCCCCUAAACACAAAUUUUAUAACCUUUCUGUUUCUCUUAAUUAAUCUCCGAUUUUUGACAACUUAACUUCUUCUCAAGUCCUCGUCGAGCCCUACGUUUGUAACCCACCAAUCCGAUUUUGCCAGAAAUCACCAAACAAGGCAGAAGUUGUAGCUUUGUUUACAGGGACUGACUAAUCAGUGUCUCCUACAACUGUGCCGCCGCCUUUUUUCUAAAAUCUUUCAAAUGGGUGCUUGGAAAAGAUAACCCAAAACUAUAGAAGAAUCUGCAUGCCACAUGAGUAUAACACUUAUUGCCGUCUAAGUUAAUGUCUCCAUUUGCAGUUGGCAAGGAAUCCAGAGAAGGUAAAAUUGCAAUGAGCAUCAAAAAAUUCAGGUGCAAAUCUAAAGUUCCUGUCUUAGGCUUUGUUUUAUGAAUCGAUUUAAGUAUUUUAAAUAAUAAGAUGCGUGACAAAGUAAUUGCAACCAAUCCUUGACCCUUUCCUCAAUAGAUUAAGUAUGAUUAUUAUAUUAUUAUUAGCUUAACCUUCUAAACCUUUUAUGUAACUCUCGUAAAGCUUUUGAUUGUUGCUCUAAUAAAAAAAAAAGAGUUGAAAGUCUGAACGAUUUAACCUUUGUCUUUUUUUUUUUUAAAUUAAAAAAAGUUUGAUUGCCUAAAUAAUUUGGAGAAGGAUACUAAAUGUUUUUAAAUUAAAUUAUUUAUUUUUAUUGCAAAAAAAAAAAAAGAACAAAUUCAAAGUUCCAUAACUAUAAAUCCAAAUUUAUGGCAAAAAACUAAGUUGUAAUUCAAAAUAAAUGAAUUUGAUAUUGGUUUUUAAGUUUCUUUUAAAUAAUGAAAUACAAACCCUAUCGACUGAUACGGGCGAAAUUUUUUGUGACGGUAACCAAGUCUUGUGGUGAUGUUUAAAACUUAUUUCAGACCAAACUUUCCUCUAGGCCAAUGAAAAAGAAAUAUUGCUUUUCAACAAAAAAAAACCCGUUUUUUAAGAAAAAAAUUCUUUGGGCAUUUGAGUUUUUUUUUUCAAAUUUUAAAAUCAAUUUCACAACAUUCUGGGUUUAAGCCUUUUCGAAAAGAAAGGUAUGACCAGAUUAAACAUUCAAACUUGCAUUUGAAAAAGAAAAUGAAUCUGACUGGUGAAACUUUCUCUCCCCAUCUUUUUCCUCUUUAAACGUCUCCUUUUUCUCCGAACAUGUUGCUUCCACCCCACAUAUUUGCAUUGCUUUGGUUUCCCAUCACCCACUUUUAACCUCUCCAAACUAUCUACUUCGUCCCACACAAGCACACUCCCCCACCACGAACAUUCCUUCUACUUUUCAAGGUCAUAGUUUAAUGAUGGCCCACGAGUUAAAACUUUUAGCCGUACAUAUGGCCACGGAAACCAACCGCGAGUCAAGCUUGGUUCGAUUUUCCCCCGCCCCUUUUCUGUGGAAAAACGAAACAACGGCAACGAAAAGCAUAAGACUUGGUAUUGAGGAAGUUAAGAAGAUUUGAAAAUUGUGCAUAAAACCGGCCAAAACCCAAUUCCGGCAAGUUUUUCGGAACUCCGGCGAGCCUUUCUGGCCAAACGGCAAACAACCGAGGCUCGAGACCACCACCAUUGGACUCGCCUCGAGUUUGAGAGCAAAGCCCAGUAUUCCAAUCGAAGGUCAAUGCACGCACGAUGGCGAACGGUGAAGAAUUCCGACGAAUUCUGCAGGAACUGGUGAGUUUUAUGCAACUGAGCUCGACUAGGCGGUUCAGUUGCCCGCUUGACGAGGCUUACGACUCCGGCGUCGAGGCAUAUUGGUAUCUCCGAAUCCUCCCUACGAACUUUUUCUCCUUUCUCUUUGUAAUUGAACUUUUAAAUAAUAUUUCUUCAUGUUGUAUUCUUGAUUCGUAUGAUUCUUAUUUUUUUAAUAUUUUAAAAACAUAUUUUAUUUAUUAUUAAUUUAUCGAUGCAAGUUUGCAUCCAUGUAGAUUUUAGUUGUUAUCAUAUUAGUUGGUAAUAUCUACUGAAUUAAGUAGUACUUCAUGCAUUAGAUAAAGAGAUGGAUCCGAGAAUUCACGAACAUUCAUUGACUUUCAAGGAAGAGAAGGAGAAUGAUGGUCCACCGCAGUUCUGUAAGGGUGCGUUUGGUACGUGGGAUGGGACGGAACAGAGUGGGACGGAACCGUUCCGUCCCACGUUUGGUGCCUUAAAAUUGUGUGGAACACGCGUCCCACGGAACGAAAAAGGGUCAGAUUUUGGUUCCCCCUCCCCCCCCUGGAACAGGUUUUUCCAUCCCGUGGGACACAAUUUUUUUUUUUUUGGACAACAAUACCCUUUUAUUUUUUUUCAUUAAUUACAUUGUCUACCUCCCUUCUCUCCCGUAACCUCCCUCUGUUCUACCACAAAUCCAGUAACCCAAUCCCUUCUUUCCCGUAACCUCCCUCUUCAUCCACCACAAACCCAGUAACCCAAUCCCAGCAAACCCAUCCGACGACGACGACGUCACCACCGUCACCAGCAAACCCCUCUUCUUCUCCGGCGUCGUCACCCGUCACCAGCAAACCCUCUUCUUCUCCGGCGCCGUCACCAUGGAGCCGUCACCAGCAACCCCUCUUCUUCUCCGGCGCCGUCACCAUAGCCAGGCCGACGACGACGACGACGAUGCACGAAGGAUGAUGACGACGCUGCAGGGAAGACGCUGCAGGCCGCGACGACGACGACGACGGACGGAUGACGACGCUGCAGGGAAGACGAUGACGACGCUGCAGGGAAGACGAUGACGAUGCUGCAGGGAGGACGAUGACGAAGCUGCAGAAAUUGAUUGAAAUGAAUUUUGGGAUUUUUCUGUGUUUGAUUUUGGGAUUUUUCUGUUUUUUUCUUCUUGUAAUUGUUUGCUGGUGACGAGAUCUGAAAUUGAUUGGAGGGUUUGCUGGUGACGAGAUCUGAAACUGGAUUGGUUGCCGAGAAAACGAAGGAAAACGAAAACUGGGGUCUGAUUGUUUGAGUUCAUACUCGCACUCAGCAAUUGUACAAACAAGGCUAAGUUAGUCAUUUAACACGAAAUCCAAACCGUUCCGUCCUACGCGUACCAAACAUAACACGAACCUCCGUUUCGUUCCGUCCCGUUCCGUCCCGUCCCGUUCCGUUCCGUCUGCGUACCAAACGCACCCUAAGGGAUGCCUGGAACCAUUGUUUGGGCCUCACUAUACUUGCGACACGUGCGAUAAGUGGUCCACUGGCUACAAGUUCAAUAUACAUAAAUCAUGUGCGGAGUUGCCCAUUGAGAUCCGCCACCCGAUCCACCCCAAUCACCCUCUUAUUCUCGAGGAAAACUACGGCUACACAUGUGGUGUCUGUAACUGUGACCAGUCACGUCGAAGUGCAUACAUUCUAUCUUACUGUUGUUCUGAAUGCGACUUCUCUAUACACGUCAAAUGUGCUUCCAAUUGGCAAAACGUCGGUCAUGAGCACAACUUCACCAUCCUCAUGCAGCCCAUUCAAUUCACUUGCGGUGUCUGUGGCCUAGUUGGUGAGUAUGACAAACAAAACUUCUACCUCUGCAACAUCUGCCAGCUCCUUGUCCAUGCCAAAUGCUCUUGGUUACCACUCCAAGUCAAAAUAGAACGGCACCAACAUCGCCUCAAGCUUACCUGGUGGUUCCAUGACAUGUACCCCAAAGACCAAGAUUUCUGUGACAUUUGCUCAGAAAAAAUGGACGGAAACCGUGCUAUUUAUUGUUGUCAUGAUCAUGAAUGUCGUGGUUAUACUGCCCACUGUAAAUGCAUAAGAAAAGAGGGGAAAUUCAAGAACAUCCUCGUCAAUGAUGAUGAUGAUGAUGAACCAUCCACAUCUAGACGUCCCCCAACCGAUGAGACCACCGCUGAUGAUAAACCCUUGCAGAUCGAGCACUUCAGUCAUCCACACAUGUUAACCCUCAUCGAUGGCCAAGAGGUGGCUAGACAAGACGGCCAAGAUGAAGGAAUUACUUGUAACGGUUGCACGCUACCCAUCAUGAGGGGUGAGUCUUAUAGGUCAUGCACAGAACAAGCAAUAGAAAAGCCAUGUAAUUUCUCUCUCCACAUAAAUUGUGCUAAAUUACCCCGAAAGAGGCUUCUCCCACUUCACGAACACGAGCUCACACUCCUUCCAACAGCAUCUUCUGUCGGUGGCGUUUUUGAGUGUGACAUGUGCGCGUCCUUGAGCCAAGGUUUCUCAUACCAUUGUCAAAGGUGCGACUACUACCUCGACAUUUAUUGCAGUAUUGUUUAUGAGCGUAGGACUCUCCGUUGUGAUGCUCAUGUUCACACCCUCCGGUUCAGCACAAAGCUCGUGUCCUGCAGAAGUUGUGGUACUCGUGAUAAGAAUUUCUGCUUCAGAUGUGGCAGUGAGAGAUGCGACUUCCAUCUGUGUAUUUCGUGUGUUAAAUUACCUCUUACAGUCAGGUACAAUUACGACGAUCAUCCUCUCAAACUCACUUAUGCUAGUGUUAAAAAUGACCUCGAUGAGUACUAUUGUGACAUAUGCGAAGGAAUACGAGAUCCAGAACAUUGGUUCUACUCCUGCCCGGAUUGUGACUUU